GAUGAACGCUGGCGGCGUGCCUAAUACAUGCAAGUCGAGCGAACGGACGAGAAGCUUGCUUCUCUGAUGUUAGCGGCGGACGGGUGAGUAACACGUGGAUAACCUACCUAUAAGACUGGGAUAACUUCGGGAAACCGGAGCUAAUACCGGAUGAUAUUUUGAACCUCAUGGUUCAAACGUGAAAGACGGUCUUGCUGUCACUUAUAGAUGGAUCCGCGCUGCAUUAGCUAGUUGGUAAGGUAACGGCUUACCAAGGCAACGAUGCAUAGCCGACCUGAGAGGGUGAUCGGCCACACUGGAACUGAGACACGGUCCAGACUCCUACGGGAGGCAGCAGUAGGGAAUCUUCCGCAAAGGGCGAAAGCCUGACGGAGCAACACCGCGUGAGUGAUGAAGGUCUUCGGAUCGUAAAACUCUGUUAUUAGGGAAGAACAUAUGUGUAAGUAACUGUGCACAUCUUGACGGUACCUAAUGAGAAAGCCACGGCUAACUACGUG
rnacentral:rRNA from 1 species